AUCAGAUGGGGAUCUUGUUAAAAUGCAGACUCUGAUACAGUUAAAUCUGGGGGUGGGGCCUGAGAUUCUGCAUUUCUAACAAGCUCUGAGGUGAUGCUCA
rnacentral:pre_miRNA from 1 species